UACAGAGGUCUCAAGCGUUGUUCGGAUUCAUUGGGCGUAAAGGGUGCGUAGGCGGCGCGGUAAGUCGGGUGUGAAAUCUCGGAGCUUAACUCCGAAACUGCAUUCGAUACUGCCGUGCUUGAGGACUGGAGAGGAGACUGGAAUUUACGGUGUAGCGGUGAAAUGCGUAGAUAUCGUAAGGAAGACCAGUGGCGAAGGCGGGGUCUCUGGACAGUUCCUGACGCUGAGGCACGAAAGCCAAGGGAGCAAACAGG
rnacentral:rRNA from 1 species